UGUCGCGUGGUUCAGUUGGUAGAACGUCGGAUUCUGAUUCCGAAGACCGCAGGUUCGAGUCCUGCCGCGGUAG
rnacentral:tRNA from 1 species